UUUUAAGUGAAGUUAUUUAAACCAAUUUCUUAUUUGAAGCUUUUAAAAAUAAUUUUUUUGCAAAAAAAAUUCGUGCACCAUAAAAUUCAUUUAGAAAAUCUAAAAUAACCAGAUAAAUUAAUUAUUUAUAUUUUAUUAAUUAAAUUAUAAAUAUGAAUAAUUUUUUAAAAUGCAAUCGAAGUUUUUGAAGAGUUAAGUUUUCAUGUAUUUUAAUGUAGUUUGAUGAUUCACUACUAUCAGAUUGUAUGCCACCUAUUUUUUAUUUGACGCAAUAUAUAAUAUAAUUUNNNNN
rnacentral:lncRNA from 1 species